rnacentral:rRNA from 1 species
UACGAAGGGGGCUAGCGUUGCUCGGAAUCACUGGGCGUAAAGAGCGCGCAGGCGGUCGGAUAAGUCGAAUGUGAAAGCCCCCGGCUCAACUGGGGAGGGUCAUUCGAUACUGUUCGACUCGAAGGCAGGAGAGGGAAGUGGAAUUCCCGGUGUAGUGGUGAAAUGCGCAGAUAUCAGGAGGAACACCGAUGGCGAAGGCAGGUCUCUGGGCAUUAACUGACGCUGAGGAGCGAAAGCAUGGGGAGCGAACAGG